UGGUGGGUAGUUUGACUGGGGCGGUCUCCUCCUAAAGAGUAACGGAGGAGCACGAAGGUUGGCUAAUCCUGGUCGGACAUCAGGAGGUUAGUGCAAUGGCAUAAGCCAGCUUGACUGCGAGCGUGACGGCGCGAGCAGGUGCGAAAGCAGGUCAUAGUGAUCCGGUGGUUCUGAAUGGAAGGGCCAUCGCUCAACGGAUAAAAGGUACUCCGGGGAUAACAGGCUGAUACCGCCCAAGAGUUCAUAUCGACGGCGGUGUUUGGCACCUCGAUGUCGGCUCAUCACAUCCUGGGGCUGAAGUAGGUCCCAAGGGUAUGGCUGUUCGCCAUUUAAAGUGGUACGCGAGCUGGGUUUAGAACGUCGUGAGACAGUUCGGUCCCUAUCUGCCGUGGGCGCUGGAGAACUGAGGGGGGCUGCUCCUAGUACGAGAGGACCGGAGUGGACGCAUCACUGGUGUUCGGGUUGUCAUGCCAAUGGCACUGCCCGGUAGCUAAAUGCGGAAGAGAUAAGUGCUGAAAGCAUCUAAGCACGAAACUUGCCCCGAGAUGAGUUCUCCCUGAGACUUAGAGUCUCCUGAAGGAACGUUGAAGACGACGACGUUGAUAGGCCGGGUGUGUAAGCGCAGCGAUGCGU
rnacentral:rRNA from 2 species